GGACGUCUGAUGUGGAUCUGUGUUCAAAACAGUCUGUCUUCGUGCUGCGCAGUUAAAAUGGCGACUGAAGCAAAGUUACAG